GCUCCGUUGGUGAACCAGCGGAGGGAUCAUUACCGAGUGCAAACUCAUAACCCUUUGUGAACCUAUAUCUGUUGCUUCGGCGGCUCGCUCUCGGGCGGGCCCGCCGGUAAUAUCAGUAUCUCUGUUUGAACCCGACGAUACUUCUGAGUGUUCUUAGCGAACAGUUAAAACUUUUAACAACGGAUCUCUUGGCUCUA
rnacentral:misc_RNA from 1 species